GGUAGUGUGGCUGAGCGGUCCAAGGCGCUGGAUUACGGCUCAAGUCUCUUAGGAGGCGUGAGUUCGAAUCCCACCGCUGCCA